ACCUGGGUGGCUCAGUUGGUUAAGUGUCUGACUUUGACUCAGGUCAUGAUCUCGUGGUUCGUGGGUUCGAGUCCCGCGUCAGGCU
rnacentral:tRNA from 1 species